rnacentral:rRNA from 1 species
UACGUAGGGUGCGAGCGUUAAUCGGAAUUACUGGGCGUAAAGUGUGCGCAGGCGGCUUCGCAAGUCGAGUGUGAAAUCCCCGAGCUUAACUUGGGAAUUGCGCUCGAAACUACGGAGCUGGAGUGUGGCAGAGGAAGGUGGAAUUCCACGUGUAGCGGUGAAAUGCGUAGAGAUGUGGAGGUACACCGAUGGCGAAGGCAGCCUUCUGGGCCAACACUGACACUGAGAGACGAAAGCUAGGGGAGCGAAUGGG